rnacentral:rRNA from 1 species
GAUGGACGCUGGCGGCGUGCCUAAUACAUGCAAGUCGAGCGAACAGAUGAGGAGCUUGCUCCUCUGACGUUAGCGGCGGACGGGUGAGUAACACGUGGAUAACCUACCUAUAAGACUGGGAUAACUUCGGGAAACCGGAGCUAAUACCGGAUAAUAUAUUGAACCGCAUGGUUCAAUAGUGAAAGACGGUUUUGCUGUCACUUAUAGAUGGAUCCGCGCCGCAUUAGCUAGUUGGUAAGGUAACGGCUUACCAAGGCAACGAUGCGUAGCCGACCUGAGAGGGUGAUCGGCCACACUGGAACUGAGACACGGUCCAGACUCCUACGGGAGGCAGCAGUAGGGAAUCUUCCGCAAUGGGCGAAAGCUUGACGGAGCAACGCCGCGUGAGUGAUGAAGGUCUUCGGAUCGUAAAACUCUGUUAUUAGGGAAGAACAAAUGUGUAAGUAACUAUGCACGUCUUGACGGUACCUAAUCAGAAAGCCACGGCGAACUACGU